AAGGCUUUAAGUUAAGUAAAACUAAUAACCUUCAAAGCUAUAAAUAAAGAGGUAUUCUUUAAGCCUUA
rnacentral:tRNA from 1 species